GACGAGGUGGCCGAGUGGUUAAGGCGAUAGACUGCUAAUCUAUUGGGGUCUCCCCGCGUGGGUUCGAAUCCCAUCCUCGUCG
rnacentral:tRNA from 1 species